AGCCGUGUAUCACCCACAGGCAGGGACUUCCCACAUGGGCCUUGGAAAGAACUGCAGCAGCUGGAGAGGAUGACAGCAACUGUACUCGGCUGCCCCUCUCCUGUUCACCCAAACCAAGAGGCAGAGCGGUGUUUUCUUUUCCAUGUUUGAUUGGGAGGCGGCCAUGAUAUGGAGAAGGGGUACAGCACUUCAGAAAGAUGAGCUCGCUUUUUUAAAAAUUAAGCAGAAAACAGUUUCAUGAGGACAUCACAUCGCAGGAAAGUGCCUGGAACAAGGACACUCACCUGCCUGGGGGGACACCAGGGCCAGCACCCCAAGGACCCAGAUGCGCAGUCAUGCGUUCUCCUAAUACAAAAAUGCCCACAGAGGCUGGAGAUGGAAACAUUUCAGGAACAGCUAAUUGUGAGAGUUGUAUAGCAUAGGAAUGUCACUAAGCGCUGGGCCUGGGCACACGGGUCACGGCAGCUGCAGGAGCAUGAGCGUGUGCAAGGCAAGAGGAAAAGCAAAAGCUUCCUGUGCCAUCGCACGACUGGGCUCAGAAAGUGGCAAGAGCGUUGGGAUAAGUGUGCUCCAGACAAGGUCUGUGGGCCAAUAAGUAUCCACUGAUGUAAGAAUUCCUGCAACUAAGAUCCAGAAGUUCUGCAACAGAGUUGGGAAACCAAUUGAGAAUCCAUCAUGUGGGCUAAGCCUCUGGCUUCAGGACAAGACACUACCACAAUGUGAUGUUUCCAGGAGAGGCAAACAAAAUAAAUCUUACUCACUAA